UACGAAGGGUGUGAGCGUUUCCCGGAUUUAUUGGGCGUAAAGUGUUUCGUAGGCGGUUUGGCAAGUUGUUCUUUAAAGCCUCCGGCUCAACCGGAGAAAGGGGUGCAAUACUGCCAGACUUGAAGGAUGUAGGGGUUACUGGAACUGUCGGUGUAGGGGUGAAAUCCGUUGAUAUCGAUAGGAAAUCCGAAGGCGAAGGCGGGUAACUAGGCAUCUCUUGACGCUGAGGAACGAAAGCUAGGGGAGCGAAACGG
rnacentral:rRNA from 1 species